GGCAACAUCAAGUUGAAACACCAGUUCUCGUAAAAUCACAAAAGUUAAGCAAAAUCGAGCCUGGUCAGUGCCUAGAUGGGUGACCACUUAGAAAUACCAAGUGCUGUAA